UCUCCGUAGGUGAACCUGCGGAGGGAUCAUUACUGAGUGAGGGCCUUCGGGCUCGACCUCCAACCCUUUGUGAACACAACUUGUUGCUUCGGGGGCGACCCUGCCGUUUCGACGGCGAGCGCCCCCGGAGGUCUCCCAACACUGCAUCGUUGCGUCGGAGUUUAACACAAAUUAAACAAAACUUUCAACAACGGAUCUCUGGGUGCUGGCAUCGAUGAAGAACGCAGC
rnacentral:misc_RNA from 1 species